rnacentral:rRNA from 1 species
UGGGGAAUAUUGGACAAUGGGCGCAAGCCUGAUCCAGCCAUGCCGCGUGAGUGAUGAAGGUCCUAGGGUUGUAAAGCUCUUUCACCGGUGAAGAUAAUGACGGUAACCGGAGAAGAAGCCCCGGCUAACUUCGUGCCAGCAGCCGCGGUAAUACGAAGGGGGCUAGCGUUGUUCGGAUUUACUGGGCGUAAAGCGCACGUAGGCGGACUAUUAAGUCAGGGGUGAAAUCCCGGGGCUCAACCCCGGAACUGCCUUUGAUACUGGUAGUCUUGAGUUCGAGAGAGGUGGGUGGAAUUCCGAGUGUAGAGGUGAAAUUCGUAGAUAUUCGGAGGAACACCAGUGGCGAAGGCGGCUCACUGGCUCGAUACUGACGCUGAGGUGCGAAAGCGUGGGGAGCAAACAGG